rnacentral:tRNA from 1 species
GUGCCCUUGGCCGAGCGGUAAAGGUUCCAGCCUUCCAAGCUGGCGAGGUGGGUUCGACUCCCACAGGGCACUC